CCAAUGUGCAUUCCCACCAACAGUGCAAGAGGGUUCCCGUUUCUCCACAUCCUCUCCAGCAUCUAUAGUCUCCUGAUUUGUUCAUUUUGGCCACUCUGACUGGCAUGGGGUGAUAUCUGAGUGUGGUUUUGACUUCUA